ensembl:snRNA U2 U2 spliceosomal RNA
AUCGCUUCUCGGCCUUUUGGCUAAGAUCAAGUGUAGAAAAAGAUGAUAGCCUCAUAAGAGAUUAUUUUUAAAGGAAUACUCAGUUGCUCUUCCAUGUUUGUUAAAAAUACUACUGAUGUUAUUUUAUGAUCAUACUUU